rnacentral:rRNA from 1 species
CCUGGGGGUGAAGAAGCUCCCAAGGGUUCGGCUGUUCGCCGAUGAAAGCGGUACGUGAGUUGGGUUUAGUGCGUUGAGAAACAGUACGGAUCCUAUCUUUUUUGGGUGUGAUACAUUUUAAAAAAUGUAGAAAACUGAGAGAAUUAUUCCUUUGUACGAGAGGACCGGGAAUAGUGAACCUCUGGUGUUCCAGUUGUCGCGCCAGUGGCAGCGCUGGGUAGCUACGUUCAAAUCGGAGAACCGCUGAAAGCAUAUCAAGCGGGAAACCGUGUCUCAAAACAAGUUUUAGAAUGGUGCAAGACAAGCACCUGAUAGGCGAGAUGUGUAAAAAGGGCAACCUUCUAGCUUACUCGUACUAACUCUUUUUCUCUUUCUUGAUCUU